UACGUAGGGGGCGAGCGUUAUCCGGAGUUACUGGGCGUAAAGCGUCCGCAGGCGGUUCUCUAAGUUUGUUCUGACAGUGCUCGGCUUAACUGAGUAAGUGGAACGAAAACUGGGGAACUUGAGGGUCCGAGAGGAAGAUGGAAUUCCAGGUGAAGCGGUGAAAUGCGUAGAUAUCUGGAGGAACACCAAAGGCGAAGGCAGUCUUCUGGAGGAAACCUGACGCUGAGGGACGAAAGCUAGGGGAGCGAACGGG
rnacentral:rRNA from 1 species